CUGGAUUGUGUGACUAUGAGUUGUGAAGUCCUCCGUCUUCUGAAGUCUACUUACCUAGACAGUUACCCGAGGCUCCUCCAGGGUGGCCUUGGGAGCAGAGGUCAUCAGGCUUCCGCAGUCACACAGGACAGCAGCAAGUUUUUAUUAUCACGCAGAACAGCACUAAACAUCAGCUGCCAGACUGAAGGAUCUGAGAGACUUUCUUGUGGAUUAAGAAUUUAAGAGACUAUCCUGCCUUGGAAGACAUCAAGAAGUCAAUUCUCCAGUGUCCUGCUUGUCCGCAAUUUGGGCAGGGUCGUGUUGGUAAAUGAGGCACAGAGCAGUUCUUUGCCAGUGACUAGCAUUGCUGCAAUUUAGAUGGUGUCAUUUUCGCCCCAUAGUCUUCUUUUC
rnacentral:lncRNA from 1 species